rnacentral:snRNA from 1 species
AUCUUUGCGCAGUGGCAGUAUCGUAGCCUAUGAGGUUUAUCCGAGGCGCGAUUAUUGCUAGUUGAAAACUUUACCCAAUACCCCGCCGAGACGACUUGCAAUAUAGUUGGCUUUGGCAAUUUUUGAUGGUCUCUCCGGAGG